UGGGUUCAAGGAUCAAAUUGGCUUGAGUAUCAACCAAACAUUUAAGGAUGUCUGUUUUCGUGUCCUUGAUAAAACCAAUAAAAGAGACAUUAGUCAUGCAUGAAAGGCAGGCAACGAAGGCAAAACUCAGCUGGAAACGUUGAAACUAUGGUCAGGAUUGUCCCAUUUCUCUGUCAUUCUUAGUGGACUGUGUGAGGCUUAUGAACUUGGCACUCAGUAUCCAAACAUGGUCUCUCUUGUAGCUUAUUGUCCACAGCUAUUUUUUUCCUCUAUUAAAGAUUCACAGUGCUUUCUUUUUUUUUUUUUUUUUUUUUUCCAAAAUGCUAUCUUCUGUUGUUUGUGGCAGCUGCUUUGGGUACUCUCUCAUUGCUGUAUCUUACUCAUGUCCUAUAUCCUGAGCUAACUGUCCUCCUGCUGCUUCUUCUUUACCUGCUGGCACUUACCUGACAGCACAUCUAUUGGAGUCUACCUUCUUGGGAUUCCAGCUUAUACUGAAGACCAGCUGAAACACCCAGACUUGUGGGACUAAGAAACUGCUAGAUUCUUGAACUUUACUCACAGCUGGCCAUUGUUGGGUUAGUUGGACCACAGCCUAUAAUUCAUUCCUAUAAUUCCCUUUAUAUAUAGAUUCAUCCCUUAAAUUCUGUGACUCUAGGGAACCCUGACUAACCCUGACAGGCAUUGUACCUCAGUUUCCAGAAUCUCCCAAAAUAGCAUCAUCAACUGAAGUCCAAAUCUGCAUCCCAGACAUUGGUUGGAAGAGUAUGUGCACAUAUGUGGAGUCUAGAGGACAAGCCUGGGUAUUGAACUUCCCAAGCUUUCAAUCUUGCUUCGAUAGGGAUUCUCACUGGCCUGGAUCUCACCAAGCUAAGAAGCCCUGGAACUUCCUUGUCUCAACCUCUCCACACUAGGAUUAUAAACACAACAAUGUUCCCAGCAGUCCAUGUGAGUUCUACUAGUUGAUCUGAGUCUCCUUGCCUCUAUGGCAAGCACGUUAUCCAUGGCUCCAUCCUUUCUCUAUUGCUUUGAAAUAUGCUGAGUCCCUGGUGUUCCAUCAGCCCAGCAACAGUGUUAGCAUUUCCCAUGGACAAGUGGAUUUCACCAAAAUACUCUGUGUGCAACAAUCAUUUCCAGAAAAUAGCUCUUCUUCAAACACAAAAAUUCAGAGAGACAUCAUCUUUAGGCCACAUACAUGUAGAACAUGUUUUUAAAUCCAUAGUAGUUAGCUAUCUCUGGCCAAGAAUUACAGCUUCAGUUAGGCUUACUUCUAGCCCAUAGAUGUGAAUCUAAUUGUGGUUCCUUCAUUGGGCAUUUUACAGAAAUCCAAGCUGGCCUUGAGGUUCCCUUAGUGAUCUCAAGUUGCUAGUCAUCAGAUCAGAACAUUGGAGUCUACUUAAAUGCUAGUCUUGAAACUAUCAUAUGUUCAACUUUCUUUGUAGGUCAAAGCCAGGGAGUGUAGUAAGGGUGCUGUUCUGGAAGCCAUAUCCACCAUGGGAUGUUCUUCAACUGAGAGCUAGAAAGAAGGAUGAUUUGUGGAGAACAGCAACUCAACAUACAAAUAUUCCAAGGGAUGACUCAUUCUUUUCUUUUUCAUUUUAAAAGAUUUAAUUAUUUUAUAUAUUCAAGUACACUGCUGCUGUCUUCAGACACAGCAGAAGAGGGCAUUGGAUCCCAUUACAGUUCAUUAUGAGCCACCAUGUGGUUGCUAAGAAUUGAACUCAGGACCUCUGGAAGAGCAGUCAGUUUUCUCUCCAGCCCACAAUUCAUUUCUUAUUCUGAAAAAGGAAACUCAGGCAUAAGAGAAUUUAAGGUCUCCCAUAGUCUUCAAGAAAUCUGUACCUGGCUGAAAACAUUGCAAGCUGCAACUUGAGCUUAAACACACCAUAUAAGUAGCAUAUGGCAUGGGAGAAAGGAAUAAUCAAGCAUUUUUAUUGCAGCAUAGGAAAGGCUGAGAAAAUGGGAAUAUUUACACAUGCAAUGCCUGAACCUCCAGGAAAUUAUCUACCUAAUACAUUUCCACUACACUCUUUCAUGCAUCUGAAAAUUUUACCAUAGGAUACAUCUGGAAGGAAAAUAAGAAAUGGAGCCAAAGGUCUAAUGAGCAAGUAAUGCUGGGACCUUAGAAUUCUUUUAGCCUUGGGAAAAGACAGGAGCUAACUCUGAGAGACACGGUCUAAGCUGUAAGAGGCUUCAAGCUUCUGCUGUCCCUAUUCAGCCUGCUGGUUCAUACAAACUGUCAAACAGAAUCAGUAGAGGACAGGGAAGGGCCCUGACAGAUGCCUCUGAGAAGAGCUAAUUGGGAUUCGGUCACCCAAUGGGUGCCUGAGACACAGAGGAGAAGCAAGCAGUUAACAGAAUAACAUGGCAUUAGGAGUGACUCAUGAAAGUCAGAGAAGACAAUUGGGUAGCAGUGAACAUUCGAUAUCUGUGGUAUUUUUAGUAAAAUUAUUUUGAGGGUAAAAUUAAAUGAGGAUAAAACAAAAGGAGAGGUGAUGGCCAUUAUUUCAAAUACAUAGAUAAAUUGUCUUCUGCAGUCCUUUUUCUCUAAACAAAACAGAACAAAACAAAAC
rnacentral:lncRNA from 1 species